CCUACGUGCGGCAGCAGUGAGGAAUAUUGGUCAAUGGGCGCGAGCCUGAACCAGCCAAGUAGCGUGAAGGAUGACUGCCCUACGGGUUGUAAACUUCUUUUAUAAAGGAAUAAAGUGAGGCACGUGUGCCUUUUUGUAUGUACUUUAUGAAUAAGGAUCGGCUAACUCCGUGCCAGCAGCCGCGGUAAUACGGAGGAUCCUAGCGUUAUCCGGAUUUAUUGGGUUUAAAGGGAGCGUAGAUGGGUUGUUAAGUCAGUUGUGAAAGUUUGCGGCUCAACCGUAAAAUUGCAAUUGAUACUGGCAGUCUUGAGUACAGUAGAGGUAGGCGGAAUGCGUGGUGUAGCGGUGAAAUGCUUAGAUAUCACGAAGAACUCCGAUUGCGAAGGCAGCUUACUAAACUGCCACUGACAUUGAUGCUCGAAAGUGUGGGUAUCAAACAGGAUUAGAUACCCCUGUAGUC
rnacentral:rRNA from 1 species